UCUGCUUCCCUUUUUCCUUUACUGUAUUUCAAUUUUCAUCUACAAAGUAAUUAUUCAUGUGUUUUUCUUCUACAAGGUUGAACUUUAUUUCAUCGCUCCAUUGUACCACUUGAAAUUAGAGGACAAAACCAAGAACAAGCGGGAAUCACGAUUACCAUCAGGGUAUAUGCAUACAGUAACAUAGAAAAGAAGGAGCUAACUCCUUUUCAGGUUGCCAGAAGGUUAUGCUACUACUGUUUUCAGGUUGCAAGAUACUCAAAAGAUGGAGCAUCGAUAUACCAUCCAUGAAAUCACGCCAUUUACUAGAGAUUGGACUUGUAAAAUACAAGUUGUUGACAAAAUCCGUCCAAAAAUUAGCAGAGAUCACCGGGUGAACUUUCAAACAACUAUCGUCCAGGACGAAAACGAAGACCAAAUCUGCAUCAUAACAUAUGGUCCUGAAGUCGCACAUUAUGACAACCUUGUCAAACAUUUCCACACAUACCUUAUCUCGGCAGCUAAAGUUAGGGAACCGUCACGUUUUGCAAUACCCAUGCACAACUUCGAAUGGGUCCUCGAUACCUUCAGUAUUGUCGAAGAAGUUAUAGAUAACAAUGAAGAAGAAUCAAUGUUACCGUUGCCUUCAAGAUUAAACAUGGUGUCCUUUGCCGAUAUCGAGAAACAGAUUCCAGGAGAUGAAUUCGACCUAGUGGCAGUUGUGGCAAAUUGCGGUACCAUGAAAUAUCAAGGCAGCGAAAACAGAAGAUUUCAAGAAGCUAUUCUUAUAGACGACAAGAAAAAGCCUUUUCUGUUUACUAUAUGAGGAGAAUUGGCUGACAAAGAUGGAACUGAACUAGUGCAGCAGUUACAUAGAUACCCUGUUAUUGUUGCAAAACGAAUAGCUGUUUCUAACUUUAAACAAGACGUCCGACUAACAACAAGGUUCAACUCCUCAAUCUUAAUCGAUCCUUUGUACCCGCAGCAGCAAAGUUAAAUGAAUUGGGCAAAGGACAACAAUCAGAUGCUAAUUGAAUACACUCUCAAAAGUACAUCAGCAUCGCCUUCGACACUAAAUGUUGCACCUUUUGAAGAUCAAAUACUUUCUAUUUCAAGCAUUCCUUCACAGUCUACCGUGAGUAUAUUAAAACAUAUCAGUCGGACUUGGCAUUGAUUGUUCUUUUCCUUUUAUAUCGUAUUAAAAAUACCCUAUAGCGAGUUAUUCUACGUUGUAAUUACUAAGUAGUAUCUUUUUAUUAUUUUCUAAACAAGCGCAAAGUUUUUAUGUUGAAGGAGAAAUAUCAUUACCAAGUGAAUUCCAGUUUUUCUUCGUACUUCUAUGCUUUGAAUGCCAACAUCUAACACGAAUCAAGCGCAAAAAGAAAGUUCUCUGUAUCAACUGCAAGCUAGAGAAUGUUGAUUCCAAGAUGUGAAUUUGAAGUUGAUGUCACAGACGGGAGCGGAACAAUAACAGUAGUAGUUCGGACAAACUAGCUGAAACAAUGCUUUCACUGACAGCAGACUAAAUGUAUGAAACUACCAUUGUCCAGGUGUAUAUACUGACAACUCUAGAUUCAUUUUGCAUCACUUCAAAUUAAUUUAAAGUCUUCACUUUACUCAUUUUGUGGUAAAUUUUCCCCCAAAUAAACAAUUAUUACCCAUUGAGCAUAUCAGAGAGAGCCUGCUAGACAAGCUGUUCAAAAUUCAUUUACAAAAAUCACUACUCAGAACACCAGAUAGGCCACCUGGUACCUUUGUCAUUUUAUCUUACACCCAGAAACAGACUGUCUUCGACUUGGCACAAUCUUCAACAUCAGCUACUAUUGGCGAGGGAAGUAAAAGGAAGGUACAAUCCAUCACUUCUGAAGAAGCAGAUCGCAGUCCAUCGACAGAAGAUGGAACCCCAAGAAAGAAACCAAAAGUACAAUGACCAAGUCCUCUACAAAAAUACUCAAGGUGCCUCAUCACAUUUGAAGUGCAACAAAGGUCGCCUCAAUGUUAUUUGAUAGGCUAUAGCAGUUGUAAUACUUGCAUUCAAGGAAGAUUUUCGUUGUGUUGUCUA